rnacentral:lncRNA from 1 species
UGCGGUUACAUGACGCUGGUAUCAGCUCAGGCCACUACAUUGCCAUUGAAAACUGGUUCAUCGAUUUAUAACAGAGCUCACCAUUUCCAGAACUGCCAUACGCGUAAACUGAGAUAUAACACUUUUCCUGGCAUUCUCUGGAUGGAGAGAUGCUUUGCUGUAUGUAACAAUUCUUUGUAUCUAAACUGUAGU